UUUUUGUCGCCAUUGGAUGAUAAUAUAAUGGAUUCUCUUUUCGCUGAUUCGUCCAAUGCCCAAUUAGAGUCUUCGCCAAUUCCACCUGGUCAAUCAAUUACACAAACACAUGGCGUUGUGGGUGGCUCAGGGACAAGUAAUUUUGCAGCUUCCACUGAGGACUUUUAUUUACCUUCUCCUCCAAUAGAAUGGUGUGAGUAAAUUUGGUUGCGAAGUUGCCGGAUCUACACUUGAGGACAAAAUGUUAAAAUCUUCGAUCAAGAGAAGAAUGCCAUUUUUUGCAAUUUUUCUAAGAAUUUAAACUGUCGAA
rnacentral:lncRNA from 1 species